rnacentral:rRNA from 1 species
UACGUAGGUGACAAGCGUUGUCCGGAUUUACUGGGCGUAAAGAGCGCGCAGGCGGUCGAUCAAGUCGAGUGUGAAAGCCCCCGGCUCAACUGGGGAGGGUCAUUCGAUACUGAUCGACUCGAAGGCAGGAGAGGGUAGUGGAAUUCCCGGUGUAGUGGUGAAAUGCGUAGAUAUCCGGAGGAACACCAGAGGCGAAGGCGGCCUGCUGGGCUGCACCUGACGCUGAAACGCGAAAGCCAGGGGAGCGAACGGG